CCAAUCCAUCAUCUUUAUCUACAUUCUCUCUCUUUAAUUUCCAUAUUCCCACCACAGGUAGAUUAAAUUUCUCGACAAAACGCCAACGACGGCGACUACCACAACGUCGCCGUCGUCGUCAUACGUCGUUGUCAUACGUGGACGCGCACGCGCACGCGCUUUGAAUUAAUUUUGUCACGCGCUAAAUUUCAACUUACCCGACAUCCGACAAAUGAUUCAAAUAAAAUAAAAUAAAAAAAUUAUUUUAUUAUCGUCUUGUUACUUCCAAGAAUUGUUUCUUUGUUUAUUUAAAUUUUUCAUGCCAACUACCAGUCGUCUCUUGAUAAAUUGAUGACCUCGCUGGUUUUCAAUGUGUCAGGUGGAAAUAUUAAAUAAAAAAAAAUCAGUUAAACCAAUGGUAUUUUUAAAGCCUGUAACAAUCUAAGAAGUAAAAAAAAAAAUACAAUUAUUUUAAAAAUUUAAAUAAACUACUUAUAGUAAAUACAAAAAAAGUUCGAUUCAAGAGUUGCUGAAGAACUGACGAUGCGGGUGUCGUGAAGACUAAUGUUGAGAAGAAGCGAUACCAGACAACGAGACUACCCGUUUGUUACCACACAAUACUGAAGAGAGGGAGGAAUGUCUAAAUGAUUCUAUCUUUUUUUCAGCUACUACACUACGUAUGAUGGUCAUGAAAAAAAAAUUCGCAGAAAGUUGAUGAAGAUAAGGGCAUAUAUGGCAGCCAUGAGCACGCGCGUGAAUUGAGGAACCAAGAGGACUUUCGUCCGUGACUUCCGGUGGCGAAUCAAAUGCUUAUUCGCAGGUGGGUGAUGGUGUCUUGUGUUGCGACCGGAUAUGGCGAAGAAUUAAAGAUGCCUCAGUGGCAUCGGCCAGGUCAUCAAAUUUAUCAUGCCAAUCACGCUGUGUUUGUAUUUGGUACAAAUACCAAGUGUUUAUAUGUUUAUAUAUGUACAUCAAAGACUAUUGAUGACAUCAUGCGCAUCAUUGCAUACACAAGACUUUAUUUAGGGCCGUUAUAUUAUUAGUUAUCUUGACAUGAACUAGCCGCUAAUAAAAAUCAUUCUGUGAAACACUAAAAUUUAUGAGAAACUGAACUUUUUUACUUGAAAAAUAUUUUUAUCAGACAGAUACUUAGUCAUUCGAUGCACAUCUUCAUCAGGAAUUUAUUGUCUUGAUCGAUCAAUUGACGUUUUUUUAUUUAUUUAUAAUUAUUUAAACUUUUAAAUUUUUUAAAGAAAACAUUUUUUAGAAAAAAAAAAAAUCAUUUAAAAUCUGCACAGUAUAAAAUCUAUAAAUUUAACUUUUUAUUUCAAUGAUUAAUAUUUAUUUGAU